rnacentral:snoRNA from 17 species
AAAAACCAAUAAUCGUGCGGAUUAUCAAACCAGGACUAUAAAACCGUGUUGCUAGUAUGCCUUUUCUAUGGUGUAAUUCUAGCGUCAAGUCCAUCGGAGAGAACAUCUCGUUCAUCUUAGCGCUCUUUUGUGCAUCGAGUGGUCCCAUUAGGGCCGAGAUCGUUGUGCAAGGGCCGGUAGAACGUACAUCU